rnacentral:rRNA from 1 species
CCUACGGGUGGCAGCAGUGGGGAAUAUUGGGCAAUGGAGGAAACUCUGACCCAGCAAUGCCGCGUGAAUGAAGAAGGUCUUCGGAUUGUAAAGCUCUUUAGUCAGGGAAGAAAAAAAUGACGGUACCUGAAGAAUAAGCUCCGGCUAACUACGUGCCAGCAGCCGCGGUAAUACGUAGGGAGCAAGCGUUGUUCGGAAUGACUGGGGGUAAAGGGUGCGUAGGUGGUUAUUCAAGUUAGUAGUGAAAUUCCCAGGGCUUAACUCGGGUGCUGCAUCUAAAACUGGAAGACUUGAGUGCAGUAGAGGUUAGUGGAAUUCCUGGUGUAGCGGUGGAAUGCGUAGAUAUUAGGAAGAACACCAGAGGCGAAGGCAGCUAACUGGACUGCAACUGACACUGAGGCACGAAAGUGUGGGGAGCAAACAGGAUUAGAUACCCUAGUAGUC